rnacentral:rRNA from 1 species
UGCAGUCGAACGGUGAAGGAGGAGCUUGCUUCUUUGGAUCAGUGGCGAACGGGUGAGUAACACGUGAGUAACCUGCCCCAGACUCUGGGAUAAGCACUGGAAACGGUGUCUAAUACCGGAUACGAGCUUCAGCCGCAUGGCUAGGAGCUGGAAAGAAUUUCGGUCUGGGAUGGACUCGCGGCCUAUCAGCUAGUUGGUGAGGUAAUGGCUCACCAAGGCGACGACGGGUAGCCGGCCUGAGAGGGUGACCGGCCACACUGGGACUGAGACACGGCCCAGACUCCUACGGGAGGCAGCAGUGGGGAAUAUUGCACAAUGGGCGCAAGCCUGAUGCAGCAACGCCGCGUGAGGGACGACGGCCUUCGGGUUGUAAACCUCUUUUAGUAGGGAAGAAGCGAAAGUGACGGUACCUGCAGAAAAAGCACCGGCUAACUACGUGCCAGCAGCCGCGGUAAUACGUAGGGUGCAAGCGUUAUCCGGAAUUAUUGGGCGUAAAGAGCUCGUAGGCGGUUUGUCGCGUCUGCUGUGAAAACUGGAGGCUCAACCUCCAGCCUGCAGUGGGUACGGGCAGACUAGAGUGCGGUAGGGGAGAUUGGAAUUCCUGGUGUAGCGGUGGAAUGCGCAGAUAUCAGGAGGAACACCGAUGGCGAAGGCAGAUCUCUGGGCCGUAACUGACGCUGAGGAGCGAAAGCAUGGGGAGCGAACAGGAUUAGAUACCCUGGUAGUCCAUGCCGUAAACGUUGGGAACUAGAUGUAGGGACCAUUCCACGGUUUCUGUGUCGCAGCUAACGCAUUAAGUUCCCCGCCUGGGGAGUACGGCCGCAAGGCUAAAACUCAAAGGAAUUGACGG